UGGGGAAUAUUGGACAAUGGGGGCAACCCUGAUCCAGCCAUGCCGCGUGAGUGAUGAAGGCCUUAGGGUUGUAAAGCUCUUUCGCCCGCGAGGAUAAUGACGGUAGCGGGAUAAGAAGCCCCGGCUAACUUCGUGCCAGCAGCCGCGGUAAUACGAAGGGGGCUAGCGUUGUUCGGAAUCACUGGGCGUAAAGCGCACGUAGGCGGAUCUUUAAGUCAGAGGUGAAAGCCUGGAGCUCAACUCCAGAACUGCCUUUGAUACUGGGGAUCUGGAGUCCGGGAGAGGUGAGUGGAAUUGCUAGUGUAGAGGUGAAAUUCGUAGAUAUUAGCAAGAACACCAGUGGCGAAGGCGGCUCACUGGCCCGGUACUGACGCUGAGGUGCGAAAGCGUGGGGAGCAAACAGG
rnacentral:rRNA from 2 species